UAUGAAGCUCACCCGGUUUUUCUUCGCAUUUCUUUUUUAUCUUCCCCUGACCGGGAGGCGUUUCGUCAUGUGAUAAAGAAUGCGAAGACGAACAAGAAGGCCUCCCCCACCGGGAGGCCUUUUUUAU
rfam:Salmonella enterica subsp. enterica serovar Typhi str. 404ty, contig contig02953, whole genome shotgun sequence